rfam:Hordeum vulgare subsp. vulgare, WGS project CAJW01000000 data, contig: morex_contig_49974
AUAAUACUCCCUCCGUCCGAAAUUACUUGUCGCACAAAUGGAUAAAAUGGAUGUAUCUAAAACUAUAAUACAUCUAGAUACAUCCAUUACGAUGACAAAUAUUUUCGGACACAGGGAGUAACUC